GAACCGUCCUCGUGGGCUGAGCGGGCAGUCACAGUGGGUGGCAUGGAGAGUGUGCAGGAGGCCACUCGGAGGCCUGUGGCCGGCCCCAAACCUGUGUUUCCUCCUGGGGGAGGAAGCAGAUGAGAAGGAAGGACCAUCAAUCUUCUCGCCCACCUAAGGUAUCUGACCGGGACAGGAGGGCAUCAGAGAUCCGCCCGUGCUGAGUAGGAAGCAAAGCUGCAGGACGCCCAGCCACUAUCAGCGCUGUCCAAUAGAAUUGCAUGCGAUGAUGGAAAUGGUCCAUAUUUGCACCAACCAACGCGGACACAGGGCAGCACUCAGCAGGUUCAGGGAAACGGGUCCAGUUUAGUCAGCGG
rnacentral:lncRNA from 1 species